rnacentral:rRNA from 1 species
AUGGCUAACCCGAAGCUACUAGCUGUGCUUGUGCUCUUGCAGGUAAUCACUCUCCAUAUCCAUGGUGUCGCAUCGUCCACAGCCAACAAACACGUGCCAAAGCCCAGUGGUGGCCGCUGCCAUAUCAGCGGCUUCCUCUACGGCAAGGCUGGCAAGUGCAACAAGGAGAAUGGCUCCGACUGCUGUAUUCCCCGCCACCGCUACCCGCAGUUCAGGUGUUCGCCCCCAGUGUCCUCCAAGACAGUGGCAACCUUGACACUGAACAGCUUUGCCCGCGGGGGCGACGGUGGUGGGCCGUCCUUCUGUGACGAUCGCUACCACAAGGACAGCGAGCUGGUGGUGGCGCUGUCUACUGGGUGGCUGCGCCUCGACGGCACACGUCGGUGCAACAAGAUGAUCCGCAUCAGCGGGAACAGGCGGUCCCUGCUGGCCAAGGUCGUCGACGAGUGUGACUCAGUGCAUGGCUGUGACAAGGAACACAACUUUGAGCCACCAUGUGCAAACAACAUCGUGGACGGGUCGCCAGCGGUAUGGAAGGCGCUGGGGCUCAACAAGAACGUCGGAAAAUUCAAGAUCACUUGGUCUGAUGUGUGA